GUGCUCACUUUGGCAGCACUUAUGCUAAAAUUGGUACAAUAGGGAGAAGAUUAGCAUGGCCCCUGUGUAAGGAUGACAUGCAAAUUUGUGAAGCGUUCCAUAUUUAA